rnacentral:rRNA from 1 species
AAAUCAGGUAGGACUACCCGCUGAACUUAAGCAUAUCAAUAAGCGGAGGAAAAGAAACUAACAAGGAUUCCCCUAGUAACGGCGAGUGAAGCGGGAAGAGCUCAAAUUUGAAAUCUGGUAGCCUUCGGUUGCCCGAGUUGUAAUCUAGAGAAGUGUUUUCCGCGUUGGCCCAUGUACAAGUCCCUUGGAACAGGGCGUCAUAGAGGGUGAGAAUCCCGUCCUUGACAUGGACCCCCAAUGCUUUGUGAUACACUUUCAACGAGUCGAGUUGUUUGGGAAUGCAGCUCAAAAUGGGUGGUGAAUUCCAUCUAAAGCUAAAUAUUGGCGAGAGACCGAUAGCGAACAAGUACCGUGAGGGAAAGAUGAAAAGCACUUUGGAAAGAGAGUUAAACAGUACGUGAAAUUGUUGAAAGGGAAACGAUUGAAGUCAGUCAUGCUCUUUGGAUUAAGCCGUUCUGCGGUGUAUUUCAUUGAGCGGGGUCAACAUCAGUUUUGAUCGCUGGAAAAGGGCAGGAGGAAGGUAGCACUCUCGGGUGAACUUAUAGCCUCUUGUCGUAUACAGUGAUUGGGACUGAGGAACGCAGCAUGCCUUUUGGCCGGGAUUCGUCCACGUACAUG